AACUAUGUAAAUCCUACAGCUCCACCAAGUCCUAUAGUAACACCACCUUCUCCAGUGAAGGCACCACCAACACCACCUUUAGUUAAAUCACCACCUAUUGUGAAAGCACCUUCUCCACCAUUGGUGAAAACACCACCAUAUCAAUCACCACCAGUGAAACCAACACCACCUAUUGUGAAAUCACCUCCUUCUCCACCAUUGGUAAAAUCACCACCUUAUCAAUCACCACCUAUUGUUAAGGCACCUUCUCCCCCUCUAGUGAAACCAACUCCACCUAUUGUGAAAUCACCUCCUUCUCCUCCUUUGGUGAAAACACCACCUUAUCAAUCACCACCUAUAGUGAAGGCACCACCAACUCCUCCACCUAUUGUGAAAACACCUCCUUAUCAAUCACCACCAAUAGUUAAACCACCAGUUGCUCCAUCUCCACCACCUACUCCAAUAGUCAAAUCAUGGAAGGGUAAGUCAAUUUCCAUUUACAUGUCUUUAAUAUGUAACAUUUUAAUAACACAUAAGACUAUGUUCAUGUUUCUAAAUUGUGGUCUCAAUAUAAUA
rnacentral:lncRNA from 1 species